UACGUAGGGUGCGAGCGUUGUCCGGAAUUAUUGGGCGUAAAGGGCUCGUAGGCGGUUUGUCGCGUCGGGAGUGAAAUCCACUGGCUUAACUGGUGGCUUGCUUUCGAUACGGGCAGACUGGAGGUAUGCAGGGGAGAACGGAAUUCCUGGUGUAGCGGUGAAAUGCGCAGAUAUCAGGAGGAACACCGGUGGCGAAGGCGGGUCUCUGGACAUUUCCUGACGCUGAGGCACGAAAGCCAGGGGAGCAAACGGG
rnacentral:rRNA from 1 species